rnacentral:misc_RNA from 1 species
UCUCCGUUGGUGAACCAGCGGAGGGAUCAUUACAGAGUUGCAAAACUCCCACACCCUUUGUGAACGCACUGAAACUACUGCUUCGGCGGGCAGCCCUUCAGGGGGUAGCCCGCCGGAGAAGCACUAAACUCUUGUAUUUUUGGCUUCUCUGAGUGAUUAUACAAUGAAUCAAAACUUUCAACAACGGAUCUCUUGGUUCUG